GAUGAACGCUAGCUACAGGCUUAACACAUGCAAGUCGAGGGGAAACGAUAUUGGAAGCUUGCUUCCGAUAGGCGUCGACCGGCGCACGGGUGAGUAACGCGUAUCCAACCUGCCCAUCACUUGGGGAUAACCUUGCGAAAGUAAGACUAAUACCCAAUGACGUCUCUAGAAGACAUCUCAAAGAGAUUAAAGAGUUAUCGGUGAUGGAUGGGGAUGCGUCUGUAUAGCUUGUUGGCGGGGUAACGGCCCACCAAGGCGACGAUCAGUAGGGGUUCUGAGAGGAAGGUCCCCCACAUUGGAACUGAGACACGGUCCAAACUCCUACGGGAGGCAGCAGUGAGGAAUAUUGGUCAAUGGGCGAGAGCCUGAACCAGCCAAGUAGCGUGCAGGAUGACGGCCCUAUGGGUUGUAAACUGCUUUUAUAAGGGAAUAAAGUGAGCCACGUGUGGCUUUUUGCAUGUACCUUAUGAAUAAGGACCGGCUAAUUCCGUGCCAGCAGCCGCCGCGG
rnacentral:rRNA from 1 species